rnacentral:rRNA from 1 species
AGUGCAAAGGUAGCAUAAUAAUUUGCCUCUUAAUUAGAGGCUGGAAUGAAGGAACAUACGAGAGUAAAACUGUUUCAUUUUUACCUAAUGAAAACUAACCUCUAGAUGAAGAGAUCUGGAUAACUAAGAAGGACAAAAAGACCCUAUUGAGCUUUACCCUACCAGAAUUCCCCCAAAGUGAAUCUAUUUAAUAAAUUCUGAGCGGGUUUUGUUGGGGCGACAGAAGAAGGACUAAAUCUUCUUUUUUUAAUGGGGUAAUAACCCUAAUAAUGAUCCGGAACCCCCGAUUAAAAGAUUCAGCUACCAUAGGGAUAACAGGCUAAUUCUUUCCGAGAGCCCAUAUUGACGAAAGAGAUUG